rnacentral:lncRNA from 1 species
AUUUCCCCAUUCAACUUAUUUUUGUCUUCUCACUUGGCAAUGGAAAAAAUCCUCAGUGACUUUCAACAUCCCUUCAAGGCAAAGUUCAGCGAUUAUAAAUCUUACUUGAAAGCAGUUUCAAGAGAAAGAUUCACAUUUGCUAUCUCUGGCUUGAAAAUUGCAAAUUAGCUACCUUCCCUCACCUGCCUGCAAAAAAAGCAUCCUUCUGUCCACUCUUGCAUUGACUGACUCACCUGGAGGAGCCCACUGAUCAGAUUAGACACAAGUUAAUUUCUGCCUAAAUUGCCUCCUGGCAGAUCAGAAGCCAUCACAUGUCUCCAGAGCGCCGUCUCCUUUAUGUGCAGUGACAUUACCAGGCGAUGUGUCAUGUUCAGCAAGCUCCAUCCCUUUAAUUGCCUGUCAUUACAAAACAUUCCUGCUUUAAAUAACAACAAACAGCAGAAACUUUCUUUCCCUGAC